rnacentral:rRNA from 1 species
AUACCUCAUCUAAGGCCUACUAAGUACAAAAGAUCAAGAUUAUCCAGGAAUAGGAGAACAGUGAACCGUCCUUAUGGUGGUGUUCUAUCUGGUCAGGCUGUUAGGGAGAGGAUCAUCCGUGCUUUCCUUGUCGAAGAGCAAAAGAUUGUGAAGAAGGUUUUGAAGAUCCAGAAGACCAAGGAGAAGCAGCUAUAA